ensembl:snRNA U6 U6 spliceosomal RNA
GUGCUUGCUCUGGCAGCACAUAUACUAAAAUUGGAAAGAUACAGAGAAGAUUAGCAUGGCCCCUGCGUAAGGAUGACACGCACAUUUGUGAAGCGUUCCAUAUUUUU